rnacentral:misc_RNA from 1 species
AUGAACGCAAGUGAAUUCCGAAGGAGAGGGAAGGAGAUGGUGGAUUACAUGGCCAACUACAUGGAAGGCAUUGAGGGACGCCAGGUCUACCCUGACGUGGAGCCCGGGUACCUGCGGCCGCUGAUCCCUGCCGCUGCCCCUCAGGAGCCAGACACGUUUGAGGACAUCAUCAACGACGUUGAGAAGAUAAUCAUGCCUGGGGUGACGCACUGGCACAGCCCCUACUUCUUCGCCUACUUCCCCACUGCCAGCUCGUACCCGGCCAUGCUUGCGGACAUGCUGUGCGGGGCCAUUGGCUGCAUCGGCUUCUCCUGGGCGGCAAGCCCAGCAUGCACAGAGCUGGAGACUGUGAUGAUGGACUGGCUCGGGAAGAUGCUGGAACUACCAAAGGCAUUUUUGAAUGAGAAAGCUGGAGAAGGGGGAGGAGUGAUCCAGGGAAGUGCCAGUGAAGCCACCCUGGUGGCCCUGCUGGCCGCUCGGACCAAAGUGAUCCAUCGGCUGCAGGCAGCGUCCCCAGAGCUCACACAGGCCGCUAUCAUGGAGAAGCUGGUGGCUUACUCAUCCGAUCAGGCACACUCCUCAGUGGAAAGAGCUGGGUUAAUUGGUGGAGUGAAAUUAAAAGCCAUCCCCUCAGAUGGCAACUUCGCCAUGCGUGCGUCUGCCCUGCAGGAAGCCCUGGAGAGAGACAAAGCGGCUGGCCUGAUUCCUUUCUUUUCAAUUCCACAGUGUAAUGUGGAAGAACUGACAUGGCUCAAAGUUAGCACGCAGAGCAAGGUGACAGCCAAGACAUUUUGAAGGAUGCAAAAAGAGUCUGCCAGUGGAUCAAGGUGUACCUGCCAUCUUAUCCCAAAAGUCUUAUCUUUCUCCGUUGCGUUCAUCUCCACAGGCCAUACAGAUGGUUGCCACCCUGGGGACCACAACAUGCUGCUCCUUUGACAAUCUCUUAGAAGUCGGUCCUAUCUGCAACAAGGAAGACAUAUGGCUGCACGUUGAUGCAGCCUACGCAGGCAGUGCAUUCAUCUGCCCUGAGUUCCGGCACCUUCUGAAUGGAGUGGAGUUUGCAGAUUCAUUCAACUUUAAUCCCCACAAAUGGCUAUUGGUGAAUUUUGACUGUUCUGCCAUGUGGGUGAAAAAGAGAACAGACUUAACGGGAGCCUUUAGACUGGACCCCACUUACCUGAAGCACAGCCAUCAGGAUUCAGGGCUUAUCACUGACUACCGGCAUUGGCAGAUACCACUGGGCAGAAGAUUUCGCUCUUUGAAAAUGUGGUUUGUAUUUAGGAUGUAUGGAGUCAAAGGACUGCAGGCUUAUAUCCGCAAGGGUUCCAACAAAGUGAAUGAAGCUCUUCUGCAAAGAAUAAACAGUGCCAAAAAAAUCCACUUGGUUCCAUGUCACCUCAGGGACAAGUUUGUCCUGCGCUUUGCCAUCUGUUCUCGCACGGUGGAAUCUGCCCAUGUGCAGCGGGCCUGGGAACACAUCAAAGAGCUGGCGGCCGACGUGCUGCGAGCAGAGAGGGAGUAGGAGUGAAGCCAGCUGCAGGAAUCAAAAAUUGAAGAGAGAUAUAUCUGAAAACUGGAAUAAGAAGCAAAUAAAUAUCAUCCUGCCUUCAUGGAACUCAGCUGUCUGUGGCUUCCCAUGUCUUUCUCCAAAGUUAUCCAGAGGGUUGUGAUUUUGUCUGCUUAGUAUCUCAUCAACAAAGAAAUAUUAUUUGCUAAUUAAAAAGUUAAUCUUCAUGGCCAUAGCUUUUAUUCAUUAGCUGUGAUUUUUGUUGAUUAAAACAUUAUAGAUUUUCAUGUUCUUGCAGUCAUCAGAAGUGGUAGGAAAGCCUCACUGAUAUAUUUUCCAGGGCAAUCAAUGUUCACGCAACUUGAAAUUAUAUCUGUGGUCUUCAAAUUGUCUUUUGUCAUGUGGCUAAAUGCCUAAUAAACAAUUCAAGUGAAAUACUAA